GCCAAAGAUAAAAGGAUUCGAUACUUUGGAGGAACUUUGCUUCACGUGGUUGUAAAAUCAGCAGAGGUGCUGGAAACACCUCUCAUUUUGUGUGGAGAGGUUCAGUCCUAUACCUGAUGGGGAGGAGAAAGCAUUGACUAGACAUUUUUCCAGUCCUUGAAGCAGUUUUCUUUGAGAGAAUGACAUUUUUCAUGCCAGACAGUUGGCAUCAGCUGUCAAGUUGGGUGAACUGGACAAGACAGAGAUGGAGACAUGCAAUGCUAUAUGGUGUCAUCAGAACUAAAGAUUAUGAAAUUCUUCUGCACAGAUUUCACCCCUGAAGUGAACAGAACACACCAGGGAUUUCCCAUGGCGAUGAGAGUCCCUGUUCCAGUUCAACUGAUUCAACUGGCCAUGUUGCCUUUUAUCCAGGUUCCUGUUUUCAUCACAUGGCAGGAGAUGCAGAAAGCACUAGGAAAACUACACCGCCAGAGGGCAUCCACAGUAGAACGUGGGAGGUGGUGCUUAUCACCUGCCAGGGAAAAUGUUGCCUUCUGAGGAGGUUUGCCAUUAUGUGGAGGAGGCACAGUCCAUGUUCUGCAACUGCUGUGAGAGGUGAGAUUGAAAUGAGUUUGAUUUGUUGCUGCAUUUUAUCUAAAGCCUGCAGGUAUCUUGUCCUCAUUGUAUCUAAUACCAUAAGUAUUUAUUGUUUUUCUAUUAAAACAUUUCCAUAG
rnacentral:lncRNA from 1 species